rnacentral:rRNA from 1 species
GACGAACCGUGCGAACGUUGUUCGGAAUCACUGGGCUUAAAGGGCGCGUAGGCAGCUUCGCAAGUCCGGGGUGAAAGCCUCCAGCUCAACUGGAGAAGUGCCUUGGAUACUGCGGGGCUCGAGGGAGGUAGGGGUGCGUGGAACUUCCGGUGGAGCGGUGAAAUGCGUUGAUAUCGGAAGGAACGCCGGUGGCGAAAGCGACGCACUGGACCUCUUCUGACGCGUGAGGCGCGAAAGCCAGGGGAGCAAACGGG